CUUUCUUUGCUGGCGACCGGCGCACGGGUGAGUAACACGUAUCCAACCUGCCCUUUACUCGGGGAUAGCCUUUCGAAAGAAAGAUUAAUACCCGAUAGCAUAAUGAUUCCGCAUGGUUUCAUUAUUAAAGGAUUCCGGUAAAGGAUGGGGAUGCGUUCCAUUAGGUUGUUGGUGAGGUAACGGCUCACCAAGCCUUUGAUGGAUAGGGGUUCUGAGAGGAAGGUCCCCCACAUUGGAACUGAGACACGGUCCAA
rnacentral:rRNA from 1 species